rnacentral:lncRNA from 1 species
GGUAACUUCUUAGACCAAGUCUAGAAACAGUCUGAGGACAAUAACAAUUCCAUUCUAAAAAGAAUCUCCCAACAUUUCUUCUAUCUCAACCUCAACUGCAUCUGCCUGUGAACUUCCAGCUUACCAAGGCUCUAUAUCUUCUGGCAGUGACAAAGGCUCCUUCCAUGGUUGGUGUGAGUAGGCUUGGACACCUGCAGGGCAGACACCCAGGAAUAAUCAACUGGGCCUUCAGUGGUCCUCUUUUGCAGGGUCAAGAUAUGUAUUCAUUUCCUACCACCGUAGUGGAAGAGAGAUUUUCCCUAUCUUUACAACUGAUAGCAUUUCCAACAGUAAGCUGUGAGAUUCUGCUUGAAAUCACCUCUCAAACAAAUAAAAAACAGACCUGGGAGACAUGCUACACUCAUUCUGCUGAGGAAAUAGGGCAAGAAUAUUUUCUAAGACCCCGAACUCCAGAUAUGCGAUGGGGCA